rnacentral:lncRNA from 1 species
UUUUGCCAUAAAGUAAAUACCUUGGUUACUGAGAGACACGAUGGUGAGAGACACCAAGACAGCUGUGGCCCCUCCAGAGUCCACACGGCAGCUGUGUUCAAUCGAGUCAGCUGUGUCUCUGGUCCUGAUUCUCCUUUACUCAGAAGAAUUUUCUUCCUUCCUGAGGUCUAGCAGUCUACACUGUUUCAACUUCCCUGUUGGCUUCAUGUCAAUUUCGGAAAGCAGAAUGGUGUCAUAGGAAAAGCAUGAGCUUUGGAGUCAAAACUCCCGGAUUCCUGAGUUCAGUGGAUUAAGGAUCCAACCACAGUGGCUCAGGUCACCACAGAGGCUCAGGUUCCAUUCUCAGCCCAGCACAGAGGGUUAAAGGAUCCUAUGUUGCUGCAGCUGCAGCUUAGGUCGCAGCUAUGGCUUGGAUUCAUUCCCUGCCCAGGAACUUCCAUAUGCCACAGGUGCAGCCAUAAAAUUGAAAGAAAAAAAAAAAAAGCCCAGAUUCAAAUCCCAGCUUUGCUGCUUAUGAGCUGUGUGAUCCUAACUAUGCAGUUUCCUUGUGACUAAAACAGGGAUAUUUUACCUACUUUGCAGGCUUAGAGGGUGAAUCACAUAAACCAAUGUCGACAAAAAGUCAGGCACUCAAUACACAUUCAAGCUAAAUUCCACAUCUGAAGCAUCACUUUAAGAAACCAUUUAUAACGAAAUGUGUACCUUAGGGAAAUUUAUAAAAUAGCACCAGUUGAAUUUUCUCUGGGGCUCAGCCCUGCUGUCCUGAUGAUGCACAUGGCAUGGAUUUAUAAGAAAGAUCUAUAGCUCUCAACUUUUCAAUUCCUCGUCCUUCACUUCCACACACGGCCAGCUCAGCAUUCUUCUCUGUCUCUGUGUUUCUAAAUCUGCCAGUUUUGUGCACGCCAAAAUCCCCUGUCUGGGCUUGAGCCCAGUUUCCUCAGCAGAUGAUUUCUUUUGGUAAGCCCGAAUACUUACAAACCAUCCUUUGGUCUAAUUCAACCCUUGGCCUGAGGAUACACGUAAACACAGGAGACUGCAGGGGCUUAGAGGAGAGAAGAGUGGAGGGGAGAGUGCGUGUGGGUGUGUGACCCAGGCUGACUACUUCCUUCUCCUAUGUGGGAGUUUCACACUGUCAGGAUUGAUAUGUGCAAGCAACAGAAAUCAGCCCUGGUUCUCUCAAGCACAAAGAUUUGAUCAAAAGACUAUUAGGGUCCAUAGCAUCAGCAAGAGGCUGAAGAAUCAGGUGUGGAAAGUAAGUGGGAACAGAGAGAGCCCAAGAAGACCACAGGCAGGGAGCAAGAAGAUCUGAUCCCCUUAGGUCCUAUAUUUGGAAAUAAACACUACCUCUCCCCAAAACACAGUGAGGCAUCCCCCUCAAUCAAAAAAGGGGCUAGGAAGAGUGUGGUACUAAUCAGAUAGUAAUAUAAAUAUAUAAUAUAUUUAAUACAUAUCAUGAUGCAUAUUAUAUAUACAAUAUACAUCAUAUUUACAAACAUAUAAAUAAAUUUUAAACACUCAUUCAUUCACUUGGCUUUAGGCAAUUUAACUCUUGGCUUAGUUUAAAGGAAGUUUGGUAUGGAGUUCCUGCUGUAGUGCAAUGGGUUAAGAAUCCCACUGUAGCAGCUCGGGUUGCUGCGGAGGCUCGGGCUCAAUUCCUAGCCCUGCACAGUGGGUUAAAGGAUCCAGUGUUGCCACAGCUGUGGUGCAGGUCGCAGUUGCGGCUUGGAUUCAACCCCUUGCCUGGGAACUUCCAUAUGCCACGGAUGUGGCCAUAAAAAAUAAAAAUAAUAAAUAAGUUUGUUAUAACUUAUUCGUAGGGAAAAAUAGCACUAUAUAUAUUUGUAACAUUGUUAAGGAAUGUGAAAACUGAACAUUUCAUUGAAUGAUACAGGGCUAGGUGCUGCAACCACUGGCAGAGAAAACCCAUCUUAAGAUGGAUCAAACAAGGGACGGCAAAAAGAGAAGAUCCCUUCGGAGUGUUGUUCCAAAUAGAGUUCCUGCUCUCUCUGGGCAUCCCUGGGCAAUUAGAAGUUCUUCCAGCAACACAGGCAACAUCCCCCAAGGCUUAAGAAACACAAUUUGUUCUGUUCUUGGCCCUAAAACCAGUGACAGUGAGCCCUGAUUCAAAUAAUAAGAUGCUGGUCCUCAGCCUUCCAUCCAACCGUUCAUUCCUCUUUUCACCUAAGCUAGAAUCUUGAAAGCCCGCCUUAGCCCUUUCCUUUCUUUAACCGUUGCAUCGAUCAGUCACCAAGUCCUGCAGUGUCUGCCUCCUGCACACAUGUCUCAAAUCCAUCCCCUCAUCAUCAUCCCAGCUGCCACUCUCUGCUCAGAUGCUCAUCAGCUGCUGCCUGGAAACAGUGACCUGCUCCUAACUUGCCUCCUCUCUCCUGUCCAUGUACCUCUUCCAUCCAGCCCUCUGACACCAAGGGAUACGUACCUACAGCAGCAGGGACCCAUGUGGUUCUCCUACUUACAGCCCUCUCUGUGGCUCCCACUGCUUCAGACCAGACCCAGGCUCUCUGACAACCCUCACUGGGUCCUCUGCCACCUGCCCCCGACCCUCUUCAUCCCCAGCUCUCUGCAUUCCCUGCCUCACAUUCUGACCUUCACUGCCCCCCUCCCGAUGCUACUCCCCCACUCUUGUCAUUGGUCCAUGUGUCUCCUCUACCUGGCUGCUCCUCCUACUCUCACCUUUAUCUCCAUUUCCUCUGUCAGUUCUUACUCAUCCUUUAAGACCCAGGUUGGCUUAGGUGCUUUAUCCCUGUGGGUGUCCCAAAGACCCCCACGCAAAUCCCCAUCACUGCACUUGUCACAGUUUCAGGAGUACGUGUUUAUGUGUGUCUCUCUCCCUGUGGCCUAUGCACUCCUUGAGGGUAGAUGUUCAUCUCUGUGUUCCCUAAGCUGCUUUAGAUCAAGAGCAGCAGGAACAUAGGGAGAUCCUGGUUGACUUUGAAGAGUAGUCUCUUUAAGGGCUCAAAUACUGGUUACUGUUUUUCUUACACUCUUUGGACCAAAUUCAUUGAUGAGAAGUCCUGAUAAAAUCCAAACAUUGGGAUGUGUAAAUCAGAGUUUGCAUUUUACUUCUACAUUUCCUUUUCUCAGGGACACUGGCCACUAGAGAAAGGGUAAUGGAGUAUCCUAACCUUAUGGGCUUGGUCUCACGGUGCUCAAUUCCCAGCACUGCUACAACUAGCUCCGUAUUCCUGCGUGAGCUUCUCUUCUUUGGAAUCGGACUAGGUAACCUCUAAAAGUUUGUUCUGAUUUCUCUAAGCAGACAUGCUAGUAAGCAGGUAACACACCUGAGUCUCAGUCUCUUCAUCUGUGAACUGGGAAUAAAGCAUUUACCAUGCAACACUACAUGAACAUGAGUGAUAAUAAGUAAGUAACCCAUAAGACACAAUGUCUAGAAGAACUUCGGUCUGAGCUACUUUUGCAUAUGAGAAAUCUCAGAACUAAAAUUUGCUACUCAACCAUUCAAGAUGCCAUUUGAAGAAUUAUAGACAGGUAUGAGUAUAUGCAUAACCGAAUCACUCUGUUGUACAGCAGAAAUUAACACAAAACUGUAAACCUUCUAUAAUUCAAUAAAAAGUUUUUAAAAAAGAAUUAUGACAGGCUAGUUUUUUUUGGGUUUUGUUUUUUGCUUUUUAGGGCCACACAUGUGGCACGUGGAAGUUCCCAGGCUAGGGGUUGAAUCAGAGCUUCAGCUGCCAGACUACAUCACAGCCACAGCAACACAGGAUCCAAGCCACAUCUGUGACCUACUCCACAGCUCACAGCAACAGCGGAUACUUAACCCACUGAUCGAGGCCAGGGAUUAAACUCGAGUCCUCAUGGAUACUAGUCAGGUUCAUUACUGCUGAGCCACAACGGGAACUCCACGAACAGGCUAGUUUUAACCACCUUCAGGAACUAAUACUGUAUUUAAAGUUUUACAUCCAUAACAAAUUUAACAUAAAAAUUGAAGACAACAAAUUUAACCUUCACAUAUUAAAAUUUGUGGGGGGUUUUUUUGUGUUUUUUUUUUAGCAGUCUGGGCUAUUGAUGUAAAUGUUGUGGUUUCAUUCAACUCCCUAGUUGAUACAAAAGUUAGUCGUUUUGCAUCCAAACCCUUUUUGCUACUUAUUAAAAGAUAAAAAAGGAAUUUUCAUUAAAAUUGAGCAACUGAGCUAUAAAAGAGGGAGGAUUAUAGCACAAUGUCCUUGACCCUCUCUCAGAAACAGAACCAGGCCCCCAUCUGAGGAAUAGCAAAUGAUUCUCAUUAAAGUAAUGAGAAUAUUUUCAGUGACAUGUGUCUGACCGACUUUAAUUCAGUUGGCAGGACCCAUGGCAGCCACAGGCCCAGAAAUAACACACAGCUGGCAGUUCCUGCUCAAACACACCUAACAGACUUAUUUCGCACUGUUUCAAGGAUACCCUACCCUAGACAGACGGGGCACAAGGUCAUAUGCAAAUUGCUGUGGCAUUAAACAAUACAUUCCUCAGGAAGACAUUGGCAGGUUGAACUUAAGACACCAGCUCUGCCUUUAGGACAUUUUCUCUGACUUGAACAGGGCGGGCCAAUGGAUCUGGCCGAUUCCAGCCCCUCCCCAACCCAACAAGCUCAAGCUAUUUUUAACUCACAACUACUGCUGAUAAGUAUUUUUCGCACACACACAAAAUACCCUUUUAGAAAGAGAAGCUCUGAAAAAAACAAAAUAUCAUGACAUGUCAGUGCGAAGUAGCCAAUCCCUCUUCCAAAGCUAUAAACGAAUGUCAUUUUGGGUUAGAAACAUAUUUAUCAUAGUUAUUUCAUUUAUCACAUUUUCCACAAUCCUUUCUACAAACAAUUUCUCUAAACAGCCGUAGGAGGCAGUAGCCAGGCUGAAAUUACUCCAGAUUUACCUUUGAAAAUGCAGUCUUUGGAACAGAAUAAGGCCCACUUCUGCAGUUCAAGUGCAGUAAAUAAUAACUAAUAAUAGGUAAACUAGCAUUUCACUGUUCAGUUUGCUCCAAUAGAUACGUUUCCCAAAUCUGGAAAUUAGCUAAGUAAGCUGUGCUGCAUGCCCUCAAAACCUAAAAUUUAGUAAGGAAGACAUAUGGGCUUAAGCAAGUUCUGCCUAAAAUGAUAAUAACUACUAUUGGUAUCAGUACUAUCCUAGAUACUUCAUAUGUAUUACCUCAAUAAAUCCUCACAAUAUCCUCGGAGGUAGGUACUGUCAUCCUUCCCAUUUCACAAGUGAAAAAAGAGUAGCACAGAGAGGUUAAGUAAUUUGCCCAAGGUCACACAGCUAUGUAAGUAGGGAACUAGGAUUUGAACCCAGUCAAUCUGGCUCCAGCUAGGGCUGAGGACAGACCUGGGUACCAGCCUGAAUUCUACCACAUACUAGCUGGGUGAUCCUAGACAGGUUAUUUAACUUUUCUGAGCCUCCCUUUCAUCAUCUAUAAAAUGGGAAUAACAAUACGUAGCUCAUAGGCUUUUGUGAGGAGCGUCAAACAGGGCAAAGUGCUUGCCACACGCUUCAGCGUGGCUAGCUAGCAUCUGCCAUCAAGGUAACAAGCAUAUUAACACAUCUUUUUUCUAGGAUGCUACCUUUUGACCACCUUUUUCUCUAUUUGCCUCACCAACUGGUAAGGCACACCACCAGAGAAUUCAGAUAUGCAGGCUGGGAUUGGGGGGCUGCCGACUCUCCCACCUCCCUACUCUGCAAUGUCCUUAGAAGUAAUAAGAUGUCAAAAGAUGAAGUCAUGGGACUAACAGCAUCCCACCAUAGUUCAACAUUUAUCGUGGGGGUUUUCUGUUAGGUUUUUUUUUUUGUUUUUUGUGGGUUUUUUUGCUUUUUUUAGGGCCACACCCGCAGCAUAUGGAAGUUCCCAGGCUAGGGGUUGAAUUGGAGCUACAGCCGCUGGCCUGCGCCAGAGCCACAGCAGCGUGGGAUCUGAGCUGCAUCUGCGACCUAUACCACUGCUCCCAGCAACGCUGGAUCCUUACCUCACUGAGCAAGGCCAGGGAUCGCACCCACAUCUUCACAGACCGUAGUUGGGUUCGUUAACCGCUGAGCCAUGAAGGGAACUCCUUUAUUGUGUUAUUUAUUGUUCAGCUGUCAUGUACCAAGCAUCAUGCCAGGCACUGUGAUAACUAAACCACUAAGACACAGACCUACCACCAAGAAGCUCACAGCCCCAUAGGGGAAAAGCACGUGUAAAUAAUCAAAUACCCAGCAUUGUGAUCUCGUCAAUCUGCUACACAAAGCUG